rnacentral:lncRNA from 1 species
GGAGGGAUUUUCUAACCCCAAUGAUUCCACGAACCUCCAUGUGGUCCACACAUGGUUCCUGGGAUGUCCUGGCCUCCAAGAUCCAUCUUUUUCUUUUCAUGGCCUCAUUCCAUGGCAGCAGGAAAGGAGCAGCGGGAAUUGGAAGGUUCCCAGUGCCAGGUACAUCCCAUCCUGAGGGAACAGCACCGGGACACCAACCCCGGAUUGCGGAGACAACUUUGCUGAGUGAGAUCUUCUCAGAAAUGAGAGAUCUGUAUUUAGAGCUGGUUCUAGAUCUGGAGAAGGCCAGGUUUUAUAUCUGAGCAGUCUGGUUUAGUGGAAGGAGUCCCUGCCCAUUGCAGGAGCUGGAACGAGAUGAGCUUUAAGGUCCCUUCCAAGCCAAACCAUUCCAUGAUUUUUAUUUCACGGUCAUGGCCUUGUUUAGAAAUCUUGCCCCAAAGUAAGCGAGGAGAAAACUCUCCUAAUUUAUUCUCCCCUCACUCUGAAAAGCAGUUUGUUUGUUUUCUUUUCUUUAUUUUUUUUUUCUUUAUCCAACAACGCCAACAAGGAGGGCUUGAAGGCGCCUUUCUCCUGCCGGGGAAGGGACGGACCAGGGAACACCAGCAAGGAGAAGAACAUUUCCUAAGAUCUUCCAAAGUCUGCUUGGAUGGAUCCAGGGAGAUGAACCUGCUGAGGAGAGGGACCUGAGCCAGCAUUUGGGCAGAAGAAGGGGAUUAGGACAACCAGAGCCGUCCAGCCUUCCUGAGUUGUGCAUCCGUCCUGGAUAUUGGGAGAAGAUGGUCCUGGAGGGAUUUCCUUCCUGUGUUUGACACCUGGAUGGUGGAGUAGGGAUGAGAGAGGAGAUGGCAAUUCUGGGAAUGACGAUUUCUUGGAUUCUUCAAUCCUCUGGAGCUGAGGGAACUGUCAGGGAUUUGCCCAGGAAGACAGUAGGGAAAAGAGAUGUGGAAAACCCCAAACCAGGAAGAUCCUGGGCCUUCCGUGGAAGAUUGUCCCAUCAUCUCCUUGCCAAGAAGUCUCCCAAUUCCUCCCAAUCCAUUGGCUGCUCUUCAGUGGUUCCAGAACUUUCCUUGGGUCCCACCAGGUGCUGCUCGGGAUGAGGCAAUCCUGGAUUCGCCACUUCCAUGGGACACUGGGGACAGGCUCCCUGCGUGCCUGGACACGCCACCCCAAAACUGUUCCUCUGUGCGACUUUCCCACAGCCAGAGGAAUUCCUUGCCGGAGCCACACCUGCUGUGAACUGGUUUAACACCAGUUUGUUAAAUGGGAGAAGCCGAUGGGGACUGGAACCCGCUGGAAAACACGCCGCCCAGCCCCACCUGAACAUCUGCACCCCGGGCAAAAGUUCCCUCUGAGGAGAAGGUGACAAAUGUCACCUCCGGCACUCCCAACGUUCCCAUUCCAUGCUGGGGAAGGGAGCUGGGACCCGCCGGAGAAAUCCUAUGGAGAAUCCCAUUGCUGGCUUGAGGAGCUUUGCAGGAAGGAGAUAAAAAUCCUUCCUCGGUGAAGAACUGGGAUGAAUCCUGGCUCUGAAGCCCCUCUGGAAGUCUUGGGUGGGUUUUUUUUUGGCCGUGUUUUCCUGGCAACAAAUCCGCCCACCUCGUUUUUUCACUCGGAACGAGUUUUUCCAGGUCUGGAAGUGUCCCAAGUGAGAGGAUAAAAAAACUUAACUCUCAUCUCCUUAAAGGCACCUGGGAACACCUUUGAGAGGUUUUGAUGUCAUUUAUGCUGAGCCUGAAAACAAAACCUGGGCUGGUUUUGGUUUUAAACCAAGCCUGAAAUUUAGGGAGGUGGGAUUGAAGAGAAAUGGGAAUUUUCAGGUUCAAAAUCUUCCUUUCAAGGGAUGGUUUUAGCCCAUAGGAUCAAAAAUAUUCCUGAUUAUGGGUUGGGAAAAUACAAUUAAAUAAAUGACUCUUUCUUUGUCCCCUUUUCCA